AUGGGAAUCCUAGUGGCGAACGGGUGAGUAACGCGUUGGUGACCUGCCCCAAAGUGUGGGAUAACAGUCCGAAAGGAUUGCUAAUACCGCAUGUGGUCAUUGGGUUUAGAAACCGAUGACUAAAGGAGUAAUCCGCUUUGGGAGGGACCUGCGUCCCAUCAGCUAGUUGGUGAGGUAAUGGCUCACCAAGGCUACGACGGGUAGGGGACCUGAGAGGGUGGCCCCCCACAAUGGAACUGAAACACGGUCCAG
rnacentral:rRNA from 1 species